CGGGGUGUAGCGCAGUCCGGUUAGCGCGCUGCGUUCGGGACGCAGAGGUCGGGAGUUCAAAUCUCCCCACCCCGA
rnacentral:tRNA from 1 species